rnacentral:rRNA from 1 species
CAAGUCGAACGAUUAAAGCUCCCUUCGGGGAGUGCAUAAAGUGGCGCACGGGUGAGUAACACGUAAGUAAUCUACCCUCGGGUGGGGAAUAACAUCGGGAAACCGAUGCUAAUACCGCAUAAUGCAGCGGCACCGCAAGGUGACAGUUGUUAAAGGAGCAAUCCGCCUGGGGAGGAGCUUGCGGCAGAUUAGCUUGUUGGUAAGGUAACGGCUUACCAAGGCUACGAUCUGUAUCCGGUCUAAGAGGACGGUCGGACACACUGACACUGAAUAACGGGUCAGACUCCUACGGGAGGCAGCAGUCGGGAAUUUUGGGCAAUGGGGGAAACCCUGACCCAGCAACGCCGCGUGAAGGAUGAAGUAUUUCGGUAUGUAAACUUCGAAAGAAUAGGAAGAAUUAAUGACGGUACUAUUUAUAAGGUCCGGCUAACUACGUGCCAGCAGCCGCGGUAAUACGUAGGGACCAAGCGUUGUUCGGAUUUACUGGGCGUAAAGGGCGCGUAGGCGGCGCGGUAAGUCACUUGUGAAAUCUCUGAGCUUAACUCAGAACGGCCAAGUGAUACUGCAGUGCUAGAGUGUGGAAGGGGCAAUCGGAAUUCUUGGUGUAGCGGUGAAAUGCGUAGAUAUCAAGAGGAACACCUGAGGUGAAGACGGGUUGCUGGGCCAACACUGACGCUGAGGCGCGAAAGCCAGGGGAGCAAACGGGAUUAGAUACCCCGGUAGUCCUGGCCCUAAACGAUGAAUACUUGGUGUCUGGAGUUUUAAUGCUCCGGGUGCCGUCGCUAAC